GACAUUUGACGAACAAGUAUGAUGCUGACUCAGCACCACUCUUUGACCCAGCAACCAUGGGACUUUGCCGAAAAGAAUGCCCCAGGGCUAUAUUCAACAAUUCUAAACCAUGACCAGAUGCAAGCAUUCAGCCCUCCAAGAGCAGCGCACUAUUACUCUGUUACACACGUUGGCUAACUUUAGGUCUCAUUAGGAUAACCACUGCAUGGUGUUCCUCCACCAAUAGACCAGAAAACACCAACCUAUCAGUGGCCACACACAUGGCAUCAUCCAUGCUAAACAUUCAAGCUGUUUCAAUCCCAAGGGACCAACAACACAUUCACAGGAUUCCCAGAGUAAACAUUGAUGGAGAUGAAAAAUUGUGUCGUGGUACUCAUCCUCGAGUAUAUCAACAAUCUAUUGCUGAAGGGGCAAAUGAAGCAACAUAAGUCAUUCUUGGGUUCUCUUCCUGGUCCAUGCCUUAAUCUUAAAGCUCAUUCUAUUCAACAACAGAUAAAGGAUUUUAGGGUAUAUUCAGGAUUAGCUCAAGAUGAACUACACAAACUGGACACAUGUAAGCUGGUUGAUGAGUUUGAGGCAAACCUCAAGAGUAUGGAGGACUACUGAAAGGCAAUCAACCACACAUUUACCAGCUGCAAUAUGCUUAAUAGCUUUACAAGCAAACACAUCUUACCAAUGCCAGGGGACUGGCCUACAUGGUUUUAUUCAAAAAAGAUAACUGCCCAAUCACAAGUUGCAACUUACAAUUCAAUAAUACCAGAGCAAGGGGCUUUCCAUGUGGGCUUGAACAUCAGAGAGGAUGUAAUCAUCUUUAUUUAUCAUUUUUUUUCUUCAACAACAUUUACAAGCAAGUAUUUGGCUCAGAACUUCCUCUCAAACCCAAGCCCUUCAGAUCUAACUUUGUUAUUACUGCAACAAUGUGUGCAUGGCUUUUGAUACGAUCUAAAGUAAUGGCCAAAUUUGCCUUGUGCAAAGAAUUGGAAUAUGUCUUCAUGCUAAACCCUCUGGAGGAAGUCCUACCUCUUACAUUUUAUCAGUAUGAUUGCAUCUUCCUGUCUGGCAAUCUUAACAGCUAUGUCGACACUAUGACUAGAUUGGCAAUUAUAUU